GCUAGUAAUCGCGGAUCAGAAUGCCGCGGUGAAUACGUUCCCGGGUCUUGUACACACCGCCCGUCACACCAUGGGAGUCGGGAAUGCCCGAAGUCAGUGGCCUAACCACAACGUGGAAGGAGCUGCCGAAGGCAGGCCUGGUGACUGGGGUGAAGUCGUAACAAGGUAAC
rnacentral:rRNA from 1 species